rnacentral:rRNA from 1 species
CCCUUAGAUGUUCUGGGCCGCACGCGUGCUACACUGAGUGGAUCAGCGGGUCAGGUUGCGCGAAAGUGUUUCCUAAUCUUUAAAUCCGCUCGUGAUGGGGAUUGACGGUUGCAAUUUUCCGUCAUGAACGAGGAAUACCUUGUAAGCGCGGGUCAUCAUCCCGCGCUGAAUACGUCCCUGCCCUUUGUACACACCGCCCGUCGCUCCUACCGAUUGAGUGGUCCGGUGAGGCUUUGGGAUCUGAGCGGAAAGAGCGUUUCGCUGUUUCUGCCCGGAAAAGUCAGUCGAACCUUAUCAUUUAGAGGAAGGAGAAGUCGUAACA